CACGUAGGGCGCAAGCGUUGUCCGGAAUUAUUGGGCGUAAAGAGCUCGUAGGCGGUCUGUUACGUCUGCUGUGAAAACCCGGGGCUUAACCCUGGGCUUGCAGUGGAUACGGGCAGACUAGAGGCAGGUAGGGGAGAAUGGAAUUCCCGGUGUAACGGUGAAAUGCGCAGAUAUCGGGAGGAACACCGGUGGCGAAGGCGGUUCUCUGGGCCUGACCUGACGCUGAGGAGCGAAAGCGUGGGGAGCGAACAGG
rnacentral:rRNA from 1 species